UGUGCCCCGCUGGUGGCUGCUGCACAGGAGUGCGGGAAGGAAAGGGUGUCCUGGGCUUGGAGAGAGGUUGGGGGGCGGGGGUGUCUCUGCUUUCCUGUUUCCUUCUAGAUCUAAGCCUAAAGCGUGAACCCGCAGCUGCUUUGGUAUUUAAAGGCCGGUGCUUGAAACGUUGUCUCGCAAGGGAAAAGUCAGAAUCUUAAUUUUACAAUCGUCGUUAAUGAGAGUGGUGAGACGCUAGAACAGGUUGCCCAGAGUAGCUGCAGAUGCCUCAUUCCUGCAAGUGCUCAAGGCAAGGUGAAGCAAAGAUUUUAUUUCCAUACAUAGAAUAGCAAGCAAGCACUUUGAGCAUAUUAUUUGUCUGACAAAAAUAAAAGCUGUCAAAAGGAGAAGAUGGACAUCCACAUAAUAAUGUAUUAAAAAUUAAUGAGAACGUAAGAAGAAAUUACUUUAAAUGCUCUUGCAGGAUAAGAAUAGCUCAGAGACUUCCGCUGCCCCCAAAACUAUCCUGAAGACAUCAGCUUUUUCAACACAUAGAACUGUUGGAAGAUAAUUAACAAAGAAUCUCUGAGAAAUGGCUUCAGAGAAGCAAUAGGGGAAUGGAUGAGAUGAGAGAAAACUUAUUCAGGAUGACAGAGGAAAACAAAGCACUUUGUAAUGUAUUUUAUAAUAAAAUAAAUCCAUCUACUGAAAGCAGGAGCACCCUUCUUUCCCAAUAUGGCAUUGCACAUGGCAGUCCCUGACAUCCUGAGGCACAUCUUCUACCUGACAACUAGACAGUCUUUGGCAACAGCUAAGAAUAAGUUUAUUUCAUGAAGAAGGUCCUACAGUAAUGUAUUAACU